UAGGGAAUCUUCCGCAAUGGACGAAAGUCUGACGGAGCAACGCCGCGUGAGUGAAGAAGGAUUUCGGUUCGUAAAACUCUGUUGUUAGGGAAGAAAAAAUGUAUAGUAACUAUAUACAAAAGAGACGGUACCUAACCAGAAAGCCACGGCUAACUACGUGCCAGCAGCCGCGGUAAUACGUAGGUGGCAAGCGUUGUCCGGAAUUAUUGGGCAUAAAGCGCGCGCAGGUGGUUUAGAAAGUCUGAUGUGAAAGCCCACGGCUCAACCGUGGAGGGUCAUUGGAAACUAAUAAACUUGAGUGCAGGAGAGAAAAGUGGAAUUCCUAGUGUAGCGGUGAAAUGCGUAGAGAUUAGGAGGAACACCGGUGGCGAAAGCGGCUUUUUGGCCUGCAACUGACACUGAGGCGCGAAAGCGUGGGGAGCAAACAGG
rnacentral:rRNA from 1 species